GACGAACGCUGGCGGCGUGCCUAAUACAUGCAAGUUGAGCGAUGAAGAUUGGUGCUUGCACCAAUUUGAAGAGCAGCGAACGGGUGAGUAACGCGUGGGGAAUCUGCCUUUGAGCGGGGGACAACAUUUGGAAACGAAUGCUAAUACCGCAUAACAACUUUAAACAUAAGUUUUAAGUUUGAAAGAUGCAAUUGCAUCACUCAAAGAUGAUCCCGCGUUGUAUUAGCUAGUUGGUGAGGUAAAGGCUCACCAAGGCGAUGAUACAUAGCCGACCUGAGAGGGUGAUCGGCCACAUUGGGACUGAGACACGGCCCAAACUCCUACGGGAGGCAGCAGUAGGGAAUCUUCGGCAAUGGACGAAAGUCUGACCGAGCAACGCCGCGUGAGUGAAGAAGGUUGUCGGAUCGUAAAAUUCUGUUGGUAGAGAAGGACGUUGGUGAGAGUGGAAAGCUCAUCAAGUGACGGUAACUACCCAGAAAGGGACGGCUAACUACGUG
rnacentral:rRNA from 1 species